AACGCACAUUGCGCCCGCCAGUAUUCUGGCGGGCAUGCCUGUCCGAGCGUCAUUUCAACCCUCAGGGAGCCCCUUCGCGGGGGGGACCUGGUGUUGGGGGCCGGCCGCCCGCGCCGCCCCCGAAAUGCAGUGGCGACCUCGCCGCAGCCUCCCCUGCGUAGUAGCACAACCUCGCACCGGAGCGCGGAGACGGUCACGCCGUAAAACGCCCAACUUUCUAGAGUUGACCUCGGAUCAGGUAGGAAUACCCGCUGAACUUAA
rnacentral:misc_RNA from 1 species